CUCCAGUUUGCGCUUGCGCACAACCGCGCCCCCGCCUCCCAACGCUGGCGGUGCUGCCAGCAACUGCUCUCCAGAGUGAAGUGAUGCUGAGAUCUCUGGAGGGAACAGUGGGAUCCCACCAACCCGGAGACUGCAAAUAUUACAGCUCAUGAUCAUAGCAAGGAAAGAGCCUCAGGGAUCCAAGGUCAACCACUCAGGAGAAGGCAGGGAAGUGUAACUCAAGACUCCCAUUCACCCCGGACCCAGAAGGUAGCUGAAAGCUGUAUGAAAAGCCUGGCAUUUCUGUUUUCAUUUCACGUUGUCCCCAUCUCCUGCUGGAUCUAGCUUAGGCGUGCUAAUCAAGGAGUCUGUCUACCUAAUUUGUCUCAUCUCCCCUUGAGAAUAAAGGCAUAAAGGAAAUUAUUGUUCAAAACUACAGUUACUUUGGAUUAAAAAAUAAGUCCUUUUAGAAUAGAAAAUUCCAUCCCCUAGAAGAGGAUGGUUGGAGCAGAAGUAAUCAUCUUGCAGAACUGGCAUUGUUUCCCUCAAGUGAUGACAGCCCUAGCAAUUUCUUCAGAUCACCUUUCAGAACCAGAACUCAGAAGACGAAUCAAGUGUGUGUGUGUGGGGGGGGGGGUGAGCAGUAAUUCCAGCCCUUGAGAGGCGAGGCAGUAGACUACAGAUCAACCAGGUUACAGCUUGGUGGCUGUUUAGUGAUGAGUAGCUACUCACUCCUGCCCUAAUGCCUCUUCUAGUUAAACCUAAGGCUCCUGUCAGUAUCCUGAAGAUGGAUGUAGGGGUCAUCGCCCCCUUUAUCUGUUCUUCCUAAUGCUUUAGAUAAAUUUCCUUUUCUCUUCAUUACCAGUACUCUAAUUGAUGUAUUAAAGUACACUGGGCUUAGCCUUUUGGCACUACUGGAGCCAGCGCCUUACUCUUAAAAUUCCAGUUAUUAUUCCCUGCUUAUUUUAAAACACACACACACACACACACACACACACACACACACACACACUUUAGCUCUUUUCCAUCUCCUGGAUCCCAGCCUACCCAACCUCUACAAUGGGCUAACUCUCUCUCUCUCUCUCUCUCUCUCUCUCUCUCUCUCUCUCUCUCUCUCUCUCUCUUUCUG